rnacentral:rRNA from 1 species
GUGUCAGCAGCCGCGGUAAUACGUAGGUGGCAAGCGUUGUCCGGAUUUAUUGGGUUUAAAGGGUGCGUAGGCGGUUCUAUAAGUCAGUGGUGAAAUCCGGCAGCUCAACUGUCGAUGUGCCAUUGAUACUGCAGAACUUGAGUACAGACGAGGUAGGCGGAAUUGACGGUGUAGCGGUGAAAUGCUUAGAUAUCGUCAAGAACACCGAUAGCGAAGGCAGCUUACUAGACUGUAACUGACGCUGAUGCACGAAAGUGUGGGGAUCAAACAGGAUUAGAAACCCCCGUAGUCC